CCAUGCAGUCGAGGGGUAUUUAUCUUCGGAUAGAGAGACCGGCGCACGGGUGCGUAACGCGUAUGCAAUCUACCUUUUACAGAGGGAUAGCCCAGAGAAAUUUGGAUUAAUACCUCAUAGUAUAUAGACUUGGCAUCAAGAUUAUAUUAAAGUCACAACGGUAAAAGAUGAGCAUGCGUCCCAUUAGCUAGUUGGUAAGGUAACGGCUUACCAAGGCUACGAUGGGUAGGGGUCCUGAGAGGGAGAUCCCCCACACUGGUACUGAGACACGGACCAGACUCCUACGGGAGGCAGCAGUGAGGAAUAUUGGACAAUGGGCGCAAGCCUGAUCCAGCCAUGCCGCGUGCAGGAUGACGGUCCUAUGGAUUGUAAACUGCUUUUAUACGAGAAGAAACACUACUUCGUGAAGUAGCUUGACGGUAUCGUAAGAAUAAGGAUCGGCUAACUCCGUGCCAGCAGCCGCGGUAAUACGGAGGAUCCAAGCGUUAUCCGGAAUCAUUGGGUUUAAAGGGUCCGUAGGCGGUUUAAUAAGUCAGUGGUGAAAGCCCAUCGCUCAACGGUGGAACGGCCAUUGAUACUGUUAGACUUGAAUUAUUAGGAAGUAACUAGAAUAUGUAGUGUAGCGGUGAAAUGCUUAGAGAUUACAUGGAAUACCAAUUGCGAAGGCAGGUUACUACUAAUUGAUUGACGCUGAUGGACGAAAGCGUGGGUAGCGAACAGG
rnacentral:rRNA from 1 species